rnacentral:rRNA from 1 species
GACGAACGCUGGCGGCGUGCUUAACACAUGCAAGUCGAACGGAAAGGCCCUGCUUUUGUUGCGUGCUCGAGUGGCGAACGGGUGAGUAACACGUGAGUAACCUGCCCUUGACUUUGGGAUAACUUCAGGAAACUGGGGCUAAUACCGGAUAGGAUCUCCUGCUGCAUGGUGGUGGUUGGAAAGUUUCGGCGGUUGGGGCUGGACUCGCGGCUUAUCAGCUUGUUGGUGGGGUAGUGGCUUACCAAGGCUUUGACGGGUAGCCGGCCUGAGAGGGUGACCGGCGACAUGGGGACUGAGAGACGGACCAGACGCCUACGGGAGGCAGCAGGGGGGAAUAUUGCACAAUGGGCGGAAGCCUGAGGCAGCAACGCCGCGUGCGGGAUGACGGGCUUCGGGUUGUAAACCGCUUUCGCCUGUGACGAAGCGUGAGUGACGGUAAUGGGUAAAGAAGCACCGGCUAACUACGUG